UGCAAACCGGAGGAAGGUGGGGAGAGUCAAAUCAUCAUGCCCUUAUGACCUGGGUACACACGUGUACAAUGGACAGAACAAAGGGCAGCGAAACCGCGAGGUUAAGCCAAUCCCACAAAUCUGUUCUCAGUUCGGAUCGCAGUCUGCAACUCGACUGCGUGAAGCUGGAAUCGCUAGUAAUCGCGGAUCAGCAUGCCGCGGUGAAUACGUUCCCGGGCCUUGUACACACCGCCCGUCACACCACGAGAGUUUGUAACACCCGAAGUCGGUGAGGUAACCUUUUAGGAGCCAGCCGCCGAAGGUGGGACAGAUGAUGGGGGUGAAGUCGUAACAAGGUAGCCGAUCGAAGU
rnacentral:rRNA from 1 species